GGUGGUGUAGUUUAGUGGUAUGAAUAGCUCAUUGUGGUAAAAGCUUCAAUGUUCUGAGCAGACCUGGGUUCGAUUCCCAGCACCGCCA